rnacentral:rRNA from 1 species
GACGAACGCUGGCGGCGUGCUUAACACAUGCAAGUCGAACGGAAAGGCCCUGCUUUUGUGGGGUGCUCGAGUAGCGAACGGGUGAGUAACACGUGAGUAACCUGCCCUUGACUUUGGGAUAACUUCAGGAAACUGGGGCUAAUACCGGAUAGGAGCUCCUGCUGCAUGGUGGGGGUUGGAAAGUUUCGGCGGUUGGGGAUGGACUCGCGGCUUAUCAGCUUGUUGGUGGGGUAGUGGCUUACCAAGGCUUUGACGGGUAGCCGGCCUGAGAGGGUGACCGGCCACAUUGGGACUGAGAUACGGCCCAGACUCCUACGGGAGGCAGCAGUGGGGAAUAUUGCACAAUGGGCGGAAGCCUGAUGCAGCAACGCCGCGUGCGGGAUGACGGCCUUCGGGUUGUAAACCGCUUUCGCCUGUGACGAAGCGUGAGUGACGGUAAUGGGUAAAGAAGCACCGGCUAAUUACGUGCCAGCAGCCGCGGUGAUACGUAGGGUGCGAGCGUUGUCCGGAUUUAUUGGGCGUAAAGGGCUCGUAGGUGGUUGAUCGCGUCGGAAGUGUAAUCUUGGGGCUUAACCCUGAGCGUGCUUUCGAUACGGGUUGACUUGAGGAAGGUAGGGGAGAAUGGAAUUCCUGGUGGAGCGGUGGAAUGCGCAGAUAUCAGGAGGAACACCAGUGGCGAAGGCGGUUCUCUGGGCCUUUCCUGACGCUGAGGAGCGAAAGCGUGGGGAGCGAACAGGCUUAGAUACCCUGGUAGUCCACGCUGUAAACGGUGGGUACUAGGUGUGGGGUCCAUUCCACGGGUUCCGUGCCGUAGCUAACGCUUUAAGUACCCCGCCUGGGGAGUACGGCCGCAAGGCUAAAACUCAAAGGAAUUGACGGGGCCCCGCACAAGCGGCGGAGCAUGCGGAUUAAUUCGAUGCAACGCGUAGAACCUUACCUGGGUUUGACAUGGAUCGGGAGUGCUCAGAGAUGGGUGUGCCUCUUUUGGGGUCGGUUCACAGGUGGUGCAUGGCUGUCGUCAGCUCGUGUCGUGAGAUGUUGGGUUAAGUCCCGCAACGAGCGCAACCCUUGUUCACUGUUGCCAGCACGUUAUGGUGGGGACUCAGUGGAGACCGCCGGGGUCAACUCGGAGGAAGGUGGGGAUGACGUCAAGUCAUCAUGCCCCUUAUGUCCAGGGCUUCACGCAUGCUACAAUGGCUGGUACAGAGAGUGGCGAGCCUGUGAGGGUGAGCGUAUCUCGGAAAGCCGGUCUCAGUUCGGAUUGGGGUCUGCAACUCGACCUCAUGAAGUCGGAGUCGCUAGUAAUCGCAGAUCAGCAACGCUGCGGUGAAUACGUUCCCGGG